UAUAUCCUUGUUACCUCGUUUGAGCU
rnacentral:sRNA from 1 species